GCGUUGGCUCGGUUGANNNCUAGUACCAAAUAUCGAUGCUUGAGCNAGNAGCUGAUCUGCCUUUUCUUGGAGCUGACGUGUNGUAUCAUCACUUGCAGGCUCGGGGGCGGGGCUACGGGAUGGUCCAGCCCGCCGCCUCCUCCGUCGUUCGGCUUCUUCAUGUUCCCAUCGAGCAGCCUCGUCUUCCUCCCGGAAACGCNUCCAAAUCGUUGGCNCUAAGGCCAUGGUCUGCUGCCCCGGAAGUGGCGCCUCCGGCGAGCAACGAAUCGAGAGCGGCUUGCACAUCAGUACCCGUCNCGGUAUUGGCCAGGGCGCGUUUGGCUUCUUUCACAGAAAAUCCCAUCUCCACAAUUUGACCGAUGAUAUGAGGUGGAGGAGACCCUAU
rnacentral:rRNA from 1 species